rnacentral:rRNA from 1 species
AAACUCAAAGGAAUUGACGGGGGCCCGACAAGCGGUGGAGCAUGUGGUUUAAUUCGAAGCAACGCGAAGAACCUUACCAGGUCUUGACAUCCUUUGACCACUCUAGAGAUAGAGCUUUCCCUUCGGGGACAAAGUGACAGGUGGUGCAUGGUUGUCGUCAGCUCGUGUCGUGAGAUGUUGGGUUAAGUCCCGCAACGAGCGCAACCCUUAUUGUUAGUUGCCAUCAUUUAGUUGGGCACUCUAGCGAGACUGCCGGUGACAAACCGGAGGAAGGUGGGGAUGACGUCAAAUCAUCAUGCCCCUUAUGACCUGGGCUACACACGUGCUACAAUGGGAAGUACAACGAGUCGCUAGACCGCGAGGUCAUGCAAAUCUCUUAAAGCUUCUCUCAGUUCGGAUUGCAGGCUGCAACUCGCCUGCAUGAAGCCGGAAUCGCUAGUAAUCGCGGAUCAGCACGCCGCGGUGAAUACGUUCCCGGGCCUUGUACACACCGCCCGU